rnacentral:misc_RNA from 1 species
ACAACCUAGCAGCAUGAGAAUGCUUAAUCUUAUAAUAACCAGCAUGAUGCCCCAAAUCUUCAAUUGUAACACUAGAAUUCGCCAAAUUAGGAAAUGAGAAUCGCUUCUCGACGAUUCUAGAACCUUCAUCGUCGGUCUGAAACGGAUCCCUAUCGACAAUGUUAUCCGAUUCCUUAGGAAACAAAUUGAGCUCCUGAAUCAAUUUCUCCGCUUGCUUCGUUGCGAACCUCGAAGGUAAUACUGAAAUCUUCGCUAAUGAAAAUGAAGGAAGAACA